rnacentral:rRNA from 1 species
GACGAACGCUGGCGGCGUGCUUAACACAUGCAAGUCGAACGGAAAGGCCCUGCUUUUGUGGGGUGCUCGAGUGGCGAACGGGUGAGUAACACGUGAGUAACCUGCCCUUGACUUUGGGAUAACUUCAGGAAACUGGGGCUAAUACCGGAUAGGAGCUCCUGCUGCAUGGGGGGGGUUGGAAAGUUUCGGCGGUUGGGGAUGGACUCGCGGCUUAUCAGCUUGUUGGUGGGGUAGUGGCUUACCAAGGCUUUGACGGGUAGCCGGCCUGAGAGGGUGACCGGCCACAUUGGGCCUGAGAUACGGCCCAGACUCCUACGGGAGGCAGCAGUGGGGAAUAUUGCACAAUGGGCGGAAGCCUGAUGCAGCAACGCCGCGUGCGUGAUGACGGCCUUCGGGUUGUAAACCGCUUUCGCCUGUGACGAAGCGUGAGUGACGGUAAUGGGUAAAGAAGCACCGGCUAACUACGUG